rnacentral:rRNA from 1 species
AUUGAACGCUAGCGGGAUGCUUUACACAUGCAAGUCGAACGAGUGGCGGACGGGUGAGUAAUAUAUCGGAACGUGCCCAGUAGCGGGGGAUAACUACUCGAAAGGGUGGCUAAUACCGCAUACUAUUUGAGCGGCCGAUAUCGGAUUAGCUAGUUGGUGGGGUAAAGGCUCACCAAGGCAACGAUCCGUAGCUGGUUUGAGAGGACGACCAGCCACACUGGGACUGAGACACGGGCCAGACUCCUACGGGAGGCAGCAGUGGGGAAUUUUGGACAAUGGGGGAAACCCUGAUCCAGCCAUCCCGCGUGUAUGAGAAGGCCUUCGGGUUGUAAAGUACUUUCAGGCGGGAGGCGUUACCGGCAGAAGAAGCACCGGCUAACUCCGUGCCAGCAGCCGCGGUAAUUC